rfam:Oryza glumipatula chromosome 1, whole genome shotgun sequence.
AAAAAGGUAAACCCUAGAUUUCCGUGUCCAACUUUGAUUGUCCAUCUUAUAUGAAAUUUUUUUAUAAUUCGUAUUUUUAUUGUUGUUAGAUGAUAAAACAUGAUUAAUAUUUUAUGCGUGACUUGUCUUUUUAAUUUUUUUCAUAAUUUUUUCAAAUAAGACAGACGGUCAAACGUUGGACACGGAAACCAGGGUUUGUCUUUUU